GGUGGUAAAAAAAAAACCACUAUUAGUAAGUAGACUACUUGGUUUUAAUUAAAAACAACCAAACGUCGCUUAACCUUUGUUUAGCAAUCCUUAUAGUGAAGUACUCAGAGUGCUCAAGAGCGGUAUCUGGUCGUCAUUGGAGGCCUUGCAGGGUCACAGAUAACCAAUUGACGCGACCUGUUCGCCCUGGUGAUCUUCUGGCGGCCGUACCGCCUCUGGUAUCAACGGUGUCAAACGUCUAACGCCACUACAGCCGCGCAGCCCGCUACUACUUCUGCAGUCGUUGCAGCCUGCGGCUAUUGCGACCGCUGGAGCUGGCGUGCUGCCUGUGUCGUCUACUACAUCGACCACUGCGUCGACUAUUUAUUCCCGAAAAGAACUGGAGGCGCUGCAGAGCACGCACCGCACGUCAGUAUGGCCGUGUCGCCGGGGAAGCUUGGCUCACUGAAGGCUCUAUGGCCUCAGACCUAAUAGUUGUCAUGUUUGCUCUGUGGUUAUUUCGAAUCGACUUGUUAUCUAGUGGUCUGAUCAUUUUGCAGUCAAAAUACUGUUCCGUUUUGAUUUGAUUAAUAAUUGGUCUCUCAAGUAAU